rnacentral:rRNA from 1 species
UACGAAGGGUGCAAGCGUUAUUCGGAAUCACUGGGCGUAAAGGGUGCGUAGACGGUAUGUUAAGUUUGUUGUUAAAGGCUCCGGCCUAACUGGAGUAUUGCGAUGAAAACUGGCGUGCUAGAGGGUGAGAGAGAGAAGUGGAAUUCCUGGUGUAGCGGUGAAAUGCGCAGAUAUCAGGAAGAACACCCGUGGCGAAGGCGGCUCUCUGGGACGGUACUGACGCUGAGACGCGAAAGCGUGGGGAGCGAACAGG